CCUACGGGAGGCAGCAGUGGGGAAUAUUGCGCAAUGGGCGAAAGCCUGACGCAGCGACGCCGCGUGAGGGAUGAAGGUCUUCGGAUCGUAAACCUCUGUCAGCAGGGAAGAACGGUCACUGUGCUAAUCAGCAGUGAAUUGACGGUACCUGCAAAGGAAGCACCGGCUAACUCCGUGCCAGCAGCCGCGGUAAUACGGAGGGUGCGAGCGUUAAUCGGAAUUACUGGGCGUAAAGCGCUCGUAGGCGGUAUGUCAAGUCAGGGGUGAAAGCCCCGCGCUCAACGUGGGAACUGCCUGUGAAACUGGCAAACUGGAGUGUGUGAGAGGAUAGUGGAAUUCCAGGUGUAGGAGUGAAAUCCGUAGAUAUCUGGAGGAACAUCAGUGGCGAAGGCGACUAUCUGGCACAUAACUGACGCUGAGGAGCGAAAGCGUGGGUAGCAAACAGGAUUAGAUACCCCUGUAGUC
rnacentral:rRNA from 1 species